GCAGUCGGACGGUUUGUCGCUGGUGUGGCUUUAUGGCUGCACGAGAGGAAAGUCCGGGCAGCAUAGGGCAAUCCCACUUGCUAAUAUACAAGCAAUCCGCGAGGGUUGAGAAGUGCAGAAGAAAAUAACCGCCGCAAGGUAAGGGUGAGAAGGUGAGGUAAGAGCUCACCAGCGACAUGGUGACAUGCCGGCUGUGUACCUUGGGAGCUGCAAGUUCAUGUAAACUACCGCCAUCAGGGCUGCCCGCCCGAGAGUUCGGUAGAGGGUAGAACGCUUGAGACAUGCGGCGACGCAUGUACUGGAUAAAUGACAGACACAUGGCAUUCGUGCCAUGGACAGAACCCGGCUUAUAGGCUGACUGCUUUC
rnacentral:RNase_P_RNA from 1 species